ACGGAAGGCAGCAGUGGGGAAUAUUGCACAAUGGGCGAAAGCCUGAUGCAGCGACGCCGCGUGAGCGAAGAAGUAUUUCGGUAUGUAAAGCUCUAUCAGCAGGGAAGAUAAUGACGGUACCUGACUAAGAAGCACCGGCUAAAUACGUGCCAGCAGCCGCGGUAAUACGUAUGGUGCAAGCGUUAUCCGGAUUUACUGGGUGUAAAGGGAGCGUAGGCGGUUUUACAAGUCUGAUGUGAAAGCCCGGGGCUCAACUCCGGUAUUGCAUUGGAAACUGUAGAACUAGAGUGUCGGAGGGGUAAGUGGAAUUCCUAGUGUAGCGGUGAAAUGCGUAGAUAUUAGGAGGAACACCAGUGGCGAAGGCGGCUUACCGGACGAUUACUGACGCUGAGGCUCGAAAGCGUGGGGAGCAAACAGGAUUAGAUACCCUGGUA
rnacentral:rRNA from 1 species